rnacentral:rRNA from 1 species
CAGCAGCCGCGGUAAAACGAAGGGGGCUAGCGUUGUUCGGAAUCACUGGGCGUAAAGCGCACGUAGGCGGAUUUUUAAGUCAGGGGUGAAAUCCCGAGGCUCAACCUCGGAACUGCCUUUGAUACUGGGAAUCUGGAGUCCGGGAGAGGUGGGCGGAGCUGCGAGUGUAGAGGUGAAAUUCGUAGAUAUUCGCAAGAACACCAGUGGCGAAGGCGGCUCACUGGCCCGGUACUGACGCUGAGGUGCGAAAGCGUGGGGAGCAAACAGGAUUAGAUACCCCCGUAGUCCCUGUCUCUUAUAC